AUGCAGAAGAACAAAAGGAUAGCUUUCCCUCUCGGUGCCCCACCACGACCCCUCCGGCAGACCCUCAUUUCAUUUUCACAAACCUCUCAAAGUCAGAAAAUGACAACACAGAACCAGACCUCUUACAGGAUCUUCUCAGUUGUAGGGCAGGAGUCCUGGAUAUCCAGCAGCAGUCUUCAGCAUCACGCAGAGGAAGAGCUGGUCACUGUGCUGAUGAACGCUCGGCCCGUCAGUAGCACCCCUUGUCCCCUCAAACCAGGCCGUAGCAGAGUGUCAUCACACAGGCUGUGUUUCUCAGGCACCAUAAACAUAUGUUCUCCCAUCUCUUCUCGGCCCCUGAGUGCCGGGACUCAUCGGCCGCUGUCUCUUGCUGCUGAGGAGAUCAUGGAGGUCCAGACCGUGGAGCAGCUCGAUCUCCAGGACUCUGAUGAAGAUAGGGAGGAUUGCCUGGCUCUGGCCUGCCUUGAGGAAGAUACCAAACAUAUGAGCACUACACCAUU
ensembl:lncRNA